rnacentral:rRNA from 1 species
UACGUAGGGGGCAAGCGUUGUCCGGAUUUACUGGGCGUAAAGAGCGUGUAGGCGGCCAAACAGGUCCGUUGUGAAAACUGGAGGCUCAACUUCCAGACGUCGACGGAAACCGUAGGCUAGAGUCCGGAAGAGGAGAGUGGAAUUCCUGGUGUAGCGGUGAAAUGCGCAGAUAUCAGGAAGGAACACCAGUGGCGAAGGCAG